AGGAACCGUGAUUUUUUGACCUUCGUCGCUCCACGCUGAACUUCUCUCGUCCCGGUGAUCCCAUGAUCCAAAUAUUUGCGCUAAUUAUAAUAUGACCAUGGCUGUAUGCGUCCACUUGGUCUUAGCCGAAGUGGCGGAUGCAGCGCUACUUGCUUUUGGCAUUGCCAAGCUUGCAUAAUGCACGAGGAAAGGUGUAUGUUAUUUUUGGGGCUAUACCCAGAUGAGCUGUAUUGUUGGAACGGUUCCUCUCAGCUGUUCCCUCGUGUCUGCUUGUGCCACUUGCUUGCUCAUCGUCCUCUGUGAACGUGUGCCUCAGCAGCACCGCGUGAGAUACGCUCUUUGCUUUGCGAAAAUUUUCGUUUUAGGUGCUUUCAAUGGAUGUUGGCUGAUUCGGGCACGUUCGCAGUCCAUUUCUUCCGGUCUGCUUCCGGGCUUCAUCUCCGGACUUCCGGAACGUGGUGGGCUCCGUGCCAGAUGCGCGUUUACACUGCACCGUUCUAAAGAAUUCUGUAAAUGCACUAUCUGGUACGACAGCCCACUACGUGCACUCGUCUCUUUUAAUUUUGCCUUCUUUUCGUUUCACUUACCACAAGUAUCAUUGCGCUUGCCACUAGAUGUGCUCCGCUUCGACUCGAGUUGUGAAAGAAAUUGAAAGUUGACGAAAAUCAAUGUCCCGCUUUCAAUUUUCUGUCAAGUGUACGAUCCUUUGUUACUUUGUACGUUUUUAUUGAAAAUAAACAGUUUUACGACAAA